rnacentral:tRNA from 1 species
GGCCCCUUGGUCAAGUGGUUAAGACACCGCCCUUUCACGGCGAGAACGUGGGUUCAAAUCCCGCAGGGGUCA